rnacentral:rRNA from 1 species
GCACGUAGUUGGCCGGUGCUUCUUCUGCAGGUACCGUCAAUUUCGUCCCUGCUGAAAGGGGUUUACAACCCGAAGGCCGUCAUCCCCCACGCGGCGUUACUGCGUCAGGCUUUCGCCCAUUGCGCAAUAUUCCCUGCUGCUGCCUCCCGUAGGAGUCUGGGCCGUGUCUCACUCCCAGUGUGGCUGGUCGUCCUCUCAAACCAGCUAGCCGUCGAUGCCUUGGUAGGCCGUUACCCCACCAACAAGCUGAUAGCCCGCGAGUCCCUCCCGAAGCGAUAAAUCUUUCCUCACCAGGCCAUGCGGUCCGGUGGGGACAUCCGGUAUUAGCACCGGUUUCCCGGUGUUAUCCCAGACUUCGGGGCAGGUUGCUCACGCGUUACGCACCCGUUCGCCGCUAGGUCUUCACGGGUAUUGCUACCCGAUGGACCCCGCUCGACUUGCAUGCAUUAAGUACGCCGCCAGCGUUCGUC